rnacentral:rRNA from 1 species
AAUUAAUAUAAUUGUUUUUUUUAUUAUUUAAGUGGUAAUUUAAAUUAAAUAAAUUUUAGGUUGGUGUAUAAUUUAUAAAUAUAAUAUUUUUUACUAUAGUAGAUUAGUACUGUGAGGGAAGUUUUAAUUAGUUAUUUAUAAUUGAAAAAAGUCAAUUUUAUUAAUUGUAUCUUGUGUAUCAAAGUAUAUUAAAAUAUAUUAAAAAUUUUUUUUCUUCUCGAAUUUGAAAGAUUUAAUUAAAAAUGUUAUUUUUUGUGUCAUAAAAAUUAAUAAUUUUUAAUUGGUAAUGAAAUGUUAUUCGUUUUCAAGGAUAUCUAGUUUUUUAAUAAACGAAUUUAAUUCGGAGUAUAUAAUUUAUUUAAUAUAUUUUAAUUUAAAUAUUUUUUGUACUUAAUUUUGAAAGGGAUAAUCUUUUUAAAAUAUAAUUAUAAUAUAGUGUAAUUUAGAGGAUUUUAUAAAUUUAGAAUUUGUUAAUAAUUAGAGGAUGUUAAAAUUUAAUUCUUAUUUUUAAGAGAUUUUUAAUUUUUAUUUAAUUUUUAUAUUAAAAUGUUAAGUUGAAUUUGAAAAUUUUUGUAAUUAUGAUUUAAUUAGUAAAAUUUUAAUUUAUUUAGUGUAAUAAAUUGUAAUGUUAAUAUAAAGAAUUAGGCAAAUAUUUUACUCGCCUGUUUAUUAAAAACAUGGUUUCUUGAUUAUAUUUAAGAAAUUUAACCUGCCCACUGAAAAGUUUUUGAAGGGCCGCAGUAUUUUGACUGUGCAAAGGUAGCAUAAUCAUUAGUCUUUUAAUUAAGGGCUGGCAUGAAUGGUUGGACGAGGUAAAUUCUGUUUUAUAUUAAUUGAAAUUGAAUUUAGAUUUUAAGUAAAAAUACUUAAAUGUUAUUAAGGGACGAGAAGACCCUAUAGAGUUUAAUAAAUUUAGUAAUUAAUUGAGUUAAUAUUUAAUUUUUGAUUUUUAUGAAAUUUAUUUAAUUGGGGUGAUUAGAAGAUAAAAUUAACUCUUUUUUGAUAUUAAUAUUAUUAAUAGUUUUAAGAUCCAUUAAUAAUGAUUGAAAGAUUAAAUUACCUUAGGGAUAACAGCAUAAUUCUUUUUAAGAGUUCAUAUCGAAAAAAGAGAUUGUGACCUCGAUGUUGGAUUAAGAUUAGUUUUGGGUGCAGAUGUUCAUAAACUAGGUCUGUUCGACCUUAAAAAUCUUACAUGAUCUGAGUUUAAACCGGCGUGAGCCAGGUUGGUUUCUAUCUUUAAUUUACUUUAAUAUCUUAGUACGAGAGGACCAGAUAUUUAAAAUAAUUUUUUUAUGAUUGAAUACUAUUAAUAUA